GCCUGGCUGGCAGGUCCGCCUCACCGCGUGCACUUGACCGGCCGGGCCUUUUCUUCUGGAGAACCGCAUGCCCUUCACUGGGUGUGUUGGGGACCAGGACUUUUACUUUGAAAAAAUUAGAGUGUUCAAAGCAGGCCUUUGCUCGAAUACGUUAGCAUGGAAUAAUAGAAUAGGACGUGCGGUCCUAUUUUGUUGGUUUCUAGGACCGCCGUA
rnacentral:rRNA from 1 species